CACGUAGGGUGCGAGCGUUGUCCGGAAUUACUGGGCGUAAAGGGCUCGUAGGUGGCCAACUAAGUCAGACGUGAAAUCCCUCGGCUUAACCGGGGAACUGCGUCUGAUACUGGAGGGCUUGAGUUCGGGAGAGGGAUGCGGAAUUCCAGGUGUAGCGGUGAAAUGCGUAGAUAUCUGGAGGAACACCGGUGGCGAAGGCGGCACCCUGGGCCGACACUGACGCUGAGGAGCGAAAGCGUGGGGAGCAAACGGG
rnacentral:rRNA from 1 species